GCAUUACAUAGGAGGCGCAGGCGCGCAAUUACCCAAUCCUGACUCAGGGAGGUAGUGACAGGAAAUAACAAUAAACCGGCUUAUGCCGGUUUAAUUGGAAUGAGUACAAUUUAAACAUCUUAACGAGGAACAAUUGGAGGGCAAGUCUGGUGCCAGCAGCCGCGGUAAUUCCAGCUCCAAUAGCGUAUACUAAAGUUGUUGCAGUUAAAAAGCUCGUAGUUGGAUUUCUGUGGGGACGGAGCGGCCGGCCGCAACUCGCGGUUCGAGCUAGCGCUUUCCCUACAUCCUGCCGCGAACCGUGCUACCAUUAGUUUGGCGGCGCCGGGGAUCGGCUCGAUUACUUUGAGAAAAAUAGAGUGUUCAAAGCAGGCCACACGCCUUGAAUAAGUUAGCAUGGAAUAAUAACUAAGGACUUCGGUUCUAUUUUGUUGGUGUUCGGGACUGAAGUAAUGAUUGAUAGGGACAGUUGGGGCGGUCUGUAUUCCAAAGCGAGAGGUGAAAUUCUUAGACCUUCGGAAGACAAACAGCUGCGAAAGCGUUCCGCAAGGAUGUUCCCUUUGAUCAAGAACGAAAGUUGGGGGAUCGAAGACGAUCAGAUACCGUCGUAGUCUCAACUAUAAACUAUACCAGCUAGGGAUCGGCCAACGUUAUUUAAACCGACUUGGUCGGCACCUUAUGAGAAAUCAAAGCAUCUGGGUUCCGGGGGGAGUAUGGUCGCAAGGCUGAAACUUAAAGGAAUUGACGGAAGGGCACCACCAGCCGUGGAGCCUGUGGCUUAAUUUGACUCAACACGGGAAAACUUACCAGGUCCAGACAUAGUAAGGAUUGACAGAUUGAUAGCUCUUUCUUGAUUCUGUGGGUGGUGGUGCAUGGCCGUUCUUAGUUGGUGGAGUGAUCUGUCUGGUUAAUUCCGUUAACGAACGAGACCCCAGCCUGCUAAAUAGCGCGCGUGAGCUUUGCUCGCGGCGAGCUUCUUAGAGGGACUAUGAUGCGCGAUAGCACAUGGAAGUUUGGGGCAAUAACAGGUCUGUGAUGCCCUUAGAUGUUCUGGGCCGCACACGGGCUACACUGGCGCCUGCAACGAGCAUAUCAGCUGGCCCGAGAGGGUCUCGGCUAAUCUUUUGAACCGGCGCCGUGCUUGGGAUUGACCUUUGCAAUUGUUGGUCAUGCAACGAGGAAUGCCUUGUAAACGCGAGUCAUCAGCUCGCAUUGAAUACGUCCCUGCCCUUUGUACACACCGCCCGUCGCUCCUACCGAUGAAUGUUCCGAUGAAAUUUUCGGAGAGUGCCUGUGAACUUGGCUCUGCCUUGCGAACGGGAAGCUCAAAGUCACAUAAAUCUGAACAUGGAG
rnacentral:rRNA from 1 species